AACGGCAGCACGGAGCUUGCUCUGGUGGCGAGUGGCGAACGGGUGAGUAAUAUAUCGGAACGUACCCUAGAGUGGGGGAUAACGUAGCGAAAGUUACGCUAAUACCGCAUACGAUCUAAGGAUGAAAGUGGGGGAUUCGCAAGAACCUCAUGCUCGUGGAGCGGCCGAUAUCUGAUUAGCUAGUUGGUAGGGUAAAAGCCUACCAAGGCAUCGAUCAGUAGCUGGUCUGAGAGGACGACCAGCCACACUGGAACUGAGACACGGUCCAGACUCCUACGGGAGGCAGCAGUGGGGAAUUUUGGACAAUGGGCGAAAGCCUGAUCCAGCAAUGCCGCGUGAGUGAAGAAGGCCUUCGGGUUGUAAAGCUCUUUUGUCAGGGAAGAAACGGUGGUUUCUAAUACAGAUCACUAAUGACGGUACCUGAAGAAUAAGCACCGGCUAACUACGUGCCAGCAGCCGCGGUAAUACGUAGGGUGCAAGCGUUAAUCGGAAUUACUGGGCGUAAAGCGUGCGCAGGCGGUUUUGUAAGUCUGUCGUGAAAUCCCCGGGCUCAACCUGGGAAUUGCGAUGGAGACUGCAAGGCUAGAGUUUGGCAGAGGGGGGGUAGAAUUCCACGUGUAGCAGUGAAAUGCGUAGAUAUGUGGAGGAACACCGAUGGCGAAGGCAGCCCCCUGGGUCAAGACUGACGCUCAUGCACGAAAGCGUGGGGAGCAAACAGGAUUAGAUACCCUGGUAGUCCACGCCCUAAACGAUGUCUACUAGUUGUCGGGUUUUAAUUAACUUGGUAACGCAGCUAACGCGUGAAGUAGACCGCCUGGGGGAGUACGGUCGCAAGAUUAAAACUCAAAGGAAUUGACGGGGACCCGCACAAGCGGUGGAUG
rnacentral:rRNA from 1 species